rnacentral:rRNA from 1 species
CUAAUGUUGAAAAAUUAGCGGAUGACUUGUGGCUGGGGGUGAAAGGCCAAUCAAACCGGGAGAUAGCUGGUUCUCCCCGAAAGCUAUUUAGGUAGCGCCUCGUGAAUUCAUCUCCGGGGGUAGAGCACUGUUUCGGCAAGGGGGUCAUCCCGACUUACCAACCCGAUGCAAACUGCGAAUACCGGAGAAUGUUAUCACGGGAGACACACGGCGGGUGCUAACGUCCGUCGUGAAGAGGGAAACAACCCAGACCGCCAGCUAAGGUCCCAAAGUCAUGGUUAAGUGGGAAACGAUGUGGGAAGGCCCAGACAGCCAGGAUGUUGGCUUAGAAGCAGCCAUCAUUUAAAGAAAGCGUAAUAGCUCACUGGUCGAGUCGGCCUGCGCGGAAGAUGUAACGGGGCUAAACCAUG